rnacentral:tRNA from 1 species
GGCCAGUUAGCUCAGUCGGUUGAGCAUGGUGCUGGUAACACCAAGGCCACGGGUUCAAUCUCUGUUUGGUCC